GGUGGAGAUAAGCAGAAACCAUACUGAGAGGAAGAAGGCAGGCAAACUACACCAAUUUUCCAGAUGAUAGAUAGCUUCGGGGACUUCAAGGCUCCUCUUCUCAUAAAUCAUUGUCUGAGGGGGAGACGCAAGAGAGCUGAGGGAACAUGGUGGUCAUGCGUUGUGGAUGAGCUGAGACACGGCCUCACGUGUCUGCGGGGUCUGCUGCCUCCUCCGCUCCAAUAAUAGCCUCGCUCCCCUGGCACCGUGCCCAGCGCCAGCUAACAGCACGACACCUGACCGCCGCCUCACAUGCAUGGACUCCUGACACGGUUACUGCCCGAACCAAAUCCGCAGUCUCGUGUUGAAAUACAUAACAAUCUCAAGUCAGAUCUGUGUUUACAAACACACGCUGACUGGGAAGCUCCCCGGGCAUGAGGUGGCAACAAGUCUCAGCCACUGCUGUUCGUGCGCCACCAACAGUUGGAGAAUGUGAGUCACGUUUUUGCAAAGGAAAAGCCUCAACUGUAUGGACCGGACUCGUGUAAUGUUACACUAACAACUCAGUGUACAGUAGAGAGACCUUCAGAAUGACAAACUGCAUGCAAAUCAAGUUCAAAAUAAUCUAAACAAAUAUAGGUCCAAUUUAAAACUCCAUUCAUGAUUGGCUUGCACAUGCAACUGAGUGAAUUUCCAACAUCCACAACUUGUGCCAUGGUGCUUCAACCAACUCAGCCUUGUAUAUGGAAAUCAUGCAUUAGAUGCAGUCGGCCUGUUGCCCUUUGCUGCACAAUGUAUUUGUUUUAGCUCCACUGUUUUGAUAAUCCCCCAGGCAGCACGUGUUGCCGGUUUGUUGACUCAUGCCAGAGCCAUAGACAGACCCAACAGACGGGCAGGCCUGAGCCUCACCUCUUCCUGAGCUUACAUGCAGACAGCCACAGCCCAGCCCCCGCUCCACCCAAACACAUUGCAUGUCCACCUGAAGGCUCACAUGUACAGUAAGUGUUUAUGAAUGACCCCUAGAGCCGCUGUGCUGUAAACACUGUCAAUUAGCAAUCCCUUUUACAGUCUGCUUUCAUGCAGUGCAGGAAGGAAACUAUAAAACCUGCAUGCAUCAUGUGUCAUAGUGGAAAGGUUAAUACAAUUUAAAUGUAAACUUUGCACGCUCCCUUCUUCUUCUUGCCCUAUUGUGAUUACAGAUUAGCGCUACAGAAGGCAGCACUUGUCAUUUGCACUCAUAUCUCUAAGUAUCCACAAUACAAAGAAUAAAAACAGCAGUGCUAUUUUUAUUCUCUGCAUGGGUAGCUUGUAAUAUCAGUUUCCAAAUUGAACUGUUGUGGAGGCAUUCCCUUACUUCACAUUACAUGAAAUUCCUUCCUCAAUGCCCAUGUUGAGCUUAGCCUACCCGUGCAAACACUAAUCUGCCUGGGACUGGAGGCAGGCAGAGAAACGUGAGCAGUGAGCUUCACAGGCGCAGCAGCAGCAGCUCCUCUCUGUUUGUCUCUCGUCCUUUAUCUCUUACUUUCACUUGUUCGGCUUAUAAUGCAGGGGCAUGGAGAGCCAGCAACACAGGAGAGAUAGCUUACAGUUAAGGUG